AGCUAACCUGCAUCUCAAAAGGAAAGGACCUUGUGCGGCUUCCUCCAGCCAGGACUCUGUUCAACAGGACCUUACUGUGUGGGGACGCUCCGCAGCAGUUCAUCCACUUGGACCAUUUCCAAAGCGCAAGCGGCUCCUGGAGACAAGCUGGAUACACCGAGGCAGGAGGAAUCAGCGGUUCGGUUUCGCAAGAGCACCAUUAAGGAAAAUAAAAGCAUCUAACGAAGAAAUCUAAAGAGCACUGGACAAAUGAGACAUCACAAGAAAAAGGACGAAUCAUCAUGAAAAAUGUCCCAAGAAAGAGAGUAAAUUUGUCUAGUAGUGAGCAUACUUCCAAUGGGAUAAAAUUUCAUAAAUCUUCCCAAAUAUUUGUUUCUGUCGUUUUCUGCAGACAUAAGUCAUAUGGUCUUGCAGUCCCAAUUUAAUUAAAAAUCAAAGCUGA